GUCUAAACCAUUAUUCAAAUGGCUCUAUGUGCACUCCCCUCUGUAUUGUGCUAUAAGCAAUCCUUUCUAUGCAGUGCAGUGUGAAGGCUUGCUGAUCAUGAUGUGUCUAAUUGUCGUUAAUAGACAGAAUGUUGGGGAAUUCUGUUCCCAGACAUGCUACUAGGUCCCCAGCUAGUUAACGUCGGUUUGUAUAGAGUAAAGAUUCGCUUUCUAUUUUAAAUAGAUGCCAAACUGUGGUUAUGGUCAU